GAUGAACGCUGGCGGCGUGCUUAACACAUGCAAGUCGAACGAAGCACUGAAAGCAGAUUACUUUGGUUUGAAGCUUUCUUUGACUGAGUGGCGGACGGGUGAGUAACGCGUGGGUAACCUGCCUCAUACAGGGGGAUAACAGUUAGAAAUGACUGCUAAUACCGCAUAAGCGCACAGGACCGCAUGGUCCGGUGUGAAAAACUCCGGUGGUAUGAGAUGGACCCGCGUCUGAGUAGCUGGUUGGUGAGGUAACGGCCCACCAAGGCGACGAUCAGUAGCCGGCCUGAGAGGGUGAACGGCCACAUUGGGACUGAGACACGGCCCAA
rnacentral:rRNA from 1 species